rnacentral:tRNA from 1 species
GUCGACGUAGCUCAGGUAGUAGAGCGUGGGACUCAUAAGCCCAAUGUCGGAAGUGCAAGUCUUCCCGUCGACACCA